UACGGGGGGGGCAAGCGUUGUUCGGAAUUACUGGGCGUAAAGCGCGCGUAGGCGGCUUUUCAAGUCAGACGUGAAAGCCCCAGGCUUAACCUGGGAAUUGCGUUUGAUACUGUUAGGCUAGAGUGUGGAAGGGGCUACUGGAAUUCCGUGUGUAGCGGUGAAAUGCGUAGAUAUAACGGAGGAACACCAGCGGCGAAGGCGGGUAGCUGGGCCGAACACGUGACGCUGGAUGCGCGAAAGCUAGGGUAGCAAACGGG
rnacentral:rRNA from 1 species